rnacentral:tRNA from 1 species
GCGGAAAUGGCGGAAUUGGUAGACGCACCAGAUUUAGGUUCUGGCGCCGCAAGGUGUGAGAGUUCAAGUCUCUCUUUCCACACCA